UCCCUGGUAGCUCAGAGGUUAAAGCGUCUGCCUCCAGUGCGGGAAACCCGGGUUCGAUCCCUGGGUCGGGAA
rfam:Ovis aries breed Texel chromosome 3, whole genome shotgun sequence.